AAAUCAUUGAAACAAGGUUGAACAACACAAAGAACAUAGCAUUACCAGAAGAGGCAUUGGUCUGGGGUUGAUUAUUGAAUCCAGUAAUGUCCAUUACCGAACGCAUAAUGUCUACCCAUCCUUCAAUUGAGGCGAUUUCGAACAAAGCGAGUAGAGCAUGAGGAAAUCUAUCAAAAUCGUAAUCAGGGGGAUUGGACCAGACUCUUGGUGCCCAAACCUCCCAAUUAUUAGGAGUGGAUGCGUAUUCUAAAACACACUGAGAAGCUGAUAAAACGUUGUCAUCAUUACAACUGUAUAAUAAUCCACCAAAAACGUUUUUAGCCCACAGAGCAAAAGGAAUUAGCAACGUUGCCGACACAACGGCGGCAGAAAAUAUUUUAAAAAAACCACUAAUUAGGGCGUCAUGAAACAUCCGCUGUGAAGUUUGUGUAAGAUUGAUUAAUCGAAGCACACGAAGCGCUUUGAAUGCUCGAAAGGCUCGGGAAAGCAAGGCAUGGCUU